UACGGAGGGAGCUAGCGUUGUUCGGAAUUACUGGGCGUAAAGCGCGCGUAGGCGGCUUUGUAAGUUAGAGGUGAAAGCCCGGAGCUCAACUCCGGAACUGCCUUUAAGACUGCAUCGCUUGAAUCCAGGAGAGGUGAGUGGAAUUCCGAGUGUAGAGGUGAAAUUCGUAGAUAUUCGCAAGAACACCAGUGGCGAAGGCGGCUGACUGGUCCGGUUCUGACGCUGAGGCGCGAAAGCGUGGGGAGCAAACAGG
rnacentral:rRNA from 1 species